rnacentral:piRNA from 1 species
UGAAUUUGAAGUUGUUUCAUUGAUUC